CUACAAGGGUUUCUAAUCCUGUCUGCUACCCACGCUUUCGUGUCUCAGCGUCAGAAGUGGUCCAGUAAGCUGUCUACACCACAGGUGUUCCUUCUGAUAUCUACGCAUUUCACCGCUACACCAGAAAUUCCGCUUACCUCUCCCACCCUCAAGCCCGCCAGUUUUCGGCGCACCCUCCCAGUUAAGCCGGGAGAUUUCACACCAAACUUGGCGAACCGCCUACACACUCUUUACGCCCAGUAAUUCCGAACAACGCUUGCUGCCUACGUAUUACCGCGGCUGCUGGCAC
rnacentral:rRNA from 1 species